AUGUACUGGGGGUCUACAAGUUUGUACAUGUGAAAAUAUUUUUUAAAUUGCUGAGAAAUUAUUGGAAGAGGGAGGUGGGGAAUUGAUUUCGUACAUAAUAUGCAGGGGGUCACUUACUUUGUCCAUAAAUUUAAGGGGGGUGGGGUGGGGUGGGAUUCAUAUUGUACUUGCUUCUCCAUAAAACUCAUCAUCACCCCCACUAGCCAUAAAUUUUGAAUGGUCCCUAAGGUACCCUUAAAUUGGGUUGGGAAAUUGUCUUGCCAGCACGACAGCAUAAAUUUGGGACGUUAUCUGAUUGUUGAGAGUAUCAUUUGUUAUUACACAACUGUUGCAGGUGUGCGGACAUACAAAAGAGUAAAUGAAGAACACAUGAAGAUGGUCAGCAGCAUUCUCACCAGUAAGAAGCCAAAAACCUAGGAAGUACGAUGCAAAGCGGAACACAAAGCUUCAACUCCAGAAGAUUAUUCAAGUGACCCUGUGGAGAAUCGAAUAGGUGGAAGGAGGUCCCGCCGCUUCCAAUUAAUUAAUUGCAGUGUGCAGAUAUUGUAAAAAAUAAAUAAAAAUAUUUGCAUGG